AGGCUUGGUCCUGACUUUAUUAUCAACUUUAGCCAAAUUUACACAUGCAAGUAUCCGCCCCCCUGUGAGAAUGCCCUACAGCUCCCUGCCCGGGAGCAAGGAGCUGGUAUCAGGCACACAUCUGUAAGCCCAUGACACCUUGCUUAGCCACACCCUCAAGGGAACUCAGCAGUGAUAAACAUUAAGCCAUAAGUGAAAACUUG
rnacentral:rRNA from 1 species